rnacentral:rRNA from 1 species
UACGAAGGGGGCUAGCGUUGUUCGGAAUUACUGGGCGUAAAGCGCACGUAGGCGGGUUGUUAAGUCGGGGGUGAAAUCCUGGAGCUCAACUCCAGAACUGCCUUCGAUACUGAGAGUCUUCGAGUUCGGGAGAGGUGAGUGGAACUGCGAGUGUAGAGGUGAAAUUCGUAGAUAUUCGCAAGAACACCAGUGGCGAAGGCGGCUCACUGGCCCGAUACUGACGCUGAGGUGCGAAAGCGUGGGGAGCAAACAGG